rnacentral:lncRNA from 1 species
AUGAAUCUCAUAGAUUAGAACAAUAAUUUUAGGAUCAUGAUGAGAUCAUACCAAUGAGACUUAAAAUCUUAAAAUUUUAAUCUAAAAUAUUUUCAAUCGUUGGACCAUUGAGUCAGAGAUCAAUGAUUCUAGUAAGACUGACAUAUUCUAUGUAUGCUCAAUGGAGAGAUUGAUUGAUCUCACAAUCAAUUGUAUGGAGACAUUAAUACAAAAAUAUAGGUACUCAUUAGAGAAUGAGUUUACUGAAGUAAUCCAUAGAAAGAACAUCUUAUAAAGUCUUACUUACAUGUCAAAAGAUGAUUUUAUGGUAGGAGUCGUGCAAGUGUUCCUUAAAUCUGAGAUCAUCAUGGUACUUUAUGCAUAC